UCGUAACAAGGUUUCCGUAGGUGAACCUGCGGAAGGAUCAUUACUGAAGUGAGUCUUCAUCAUUGAAGCUUCUUCCCAUUGUGCUGGCUUUGACCGUAUGUUAUGUUGGGGAUUAAACAUGGUUAGAAUUUAUUUUAGCCGUCCCCAACAAUUAUCUCAUCCUUUAUUAAAUUGAACUGAACUCAUUUUGAGAUUACAUAAAAAAUAAUCUUUUAAUACAACUUUCAACAACGGAUCUCUUGGUUCUCGCAUCGAUGAAGAACGCAGCGAAAUGCGAUACGUAAUGUGAAUUGCAGAAUUCAGUGAAUCAUCGAAUCUUUGAACGCACAUUGCACUCUAUGGUAUUCCGUAGAGUAUGCCUGUUUCAGUAUCAUGAACACCUCACUACUAUAACUUUAUUGUUGUAAUAGUGGACUUGGAAUGCGCUGGUGUCAAUCAGCCCUUCUAAAAUGGAGUUCUUGCACUGUUGAUUUGUUUUAACAGCGAUGUUGGCCUAAUAAGUUUCGGCAGUAAUGUUGAAAUCCUGGCUUUUUUUGCUUAGAAUCUGACAGUCUUGAUAUACAGAAUUUUGAGGUGACUUGUCUCCUCUUCAAAUUUUGAUCUGAAAUCAGGUAGGAUUACCCGCUGAACUUAAGCAUAUCAAUAA
rnacentral:misc_RNA from 1 species